GUGUUUGCUUCAGCAGCACAUAUACCAAAAUUGGAAUGAUACUGGGGUUAGCAAUGGCCUCUGAGAAAGGAUGACACGCAAAUUCAUGAAGCGUUCUACAUUUUA